CUGUUUUCCAUCUGUGUUUCACGUUAUUCUUUGGAGUCCUCGUUUUCUUUUGGGAGAAGGUACCAGUGUUGAAUCCGGAGCGUAUCCCGGUCUGGUAUGCAAUGCCAUUCCCAGACAGACAGCCCUAGGCCCUCGGUGGAGAUGACGCUAGUGCUUGAAGGUGAUGUUUUUUCCUUGGACUGCGUGGCUGGCGAGAUGGUAACGCUGAGGCGGGGAGCAGCUUCACAGCUCAUUGCCCUCAUCAGAGCAGCCGCCUGAGAAGCACCGUGCCAAAGCCAAGCGCUCGCCGGGUACCCGCUGCAUCGCUGCGAAGGGCGGGGAGCAGCGCGCCCGCUCGCCGGGGCUCCUCGGGGACCCGCUGCCUGCCAGCUUCCCUCUGCCGUCCUCUGAGGCGGCCUGUCCCCAGAUACACGUGUCUGGGAAAGUGCCAAGAUCACAGUCAAAAGGGAGUCACCAAUGAAGAUUUCUCUGUGCAGCUAAGCAAACAGCUCAUGAAGAAAACUCUAAAUGAAACAGUCCCUCUGAUGACACCACGAAUCUGGGAAUGA
rnacentral:lncRNA from 1 species